UAGUAGUGCUAGACGUACAGGGCAUGUAGGCGGUUUGUAAGCAUCGUGUGAAAUCCUGCAGCUUAACUGUAGAAUUGCGGUGGGUACUGGCGAGACUUGAAUCACAGAGGGGAAGCUAGAAUUCCAGGUGUAGGGGUGGAAUCUGUAGAUAUGUGGAAGAAUACCUGGUGGAGAAGGCGGGUUUCUAGCUGAUGAUUGACGCUGAGGUGCGAAAGCGCGGCGAGCAAACAGGAUUAGAUACCCUGGUAGUCCCCCCCUGUAAACUAUGUACACUAGGUGUAGGGGCAUGAGUCUCUGUGCCAAAGCUAACGCAAUAAGUGUACCGCCUGGGAAGUAUGCUCGCAAGGGUGAAACUCAAAGAAAUUGACGGGGGCCCGCACAAGCAGCGGAGCAUGUGGUUUAAUUUGAAGCAACGCGAAGAACCUUACCAGGUCUUGACAUCCAGGUAAACUUGCAGAGAUGCAAGGUGUGCUUGCACAAUCUGAGACAGGUGGUGCAUGGUUGUCGUCAGCUCGUGUCGUGAGAUGUUGGGUUAAGUCCCGCAACGAGCGCAACCCUUGUGAUUAGUUACUAACGGGUAAAGCCGAGGACUCUAAUAAGACUGCCGGGGACAACUCGGAGGAAGGUGGGGACGACGUCAAAUCAUCAUGCCCCUUAUGACCUGGGCUACACACGUGCUACAAUGGCCACGACAGAGAGAAGCGAAUUCGAGAGGAAGAGCGGAUCUCAAAAAAGUGGUCCCAGUUCGGAUUGUGGGCUGCAACCCGCCCACAUGAAGUCGGAGUUGCUAGUAAUCGCGGAUCAGC
rnacentral:rRNA from 1 species